rnacentral:rRNA from 1 species
GACGAACGUUGGCGGCGUGCUUAACACAUGCAAGUCGAACGGAAAGGCCCUGCUUUUGUGGGGUGCUCGAGUGGCGAACGGGUGAGUAACACGUGAGUAACCUGCCCUUGACUUUGGGAUAACUUCGGGAAACUGGGGCUAAUACCGGAUAGGAGCUCCUGCUGCAUGGUGGGGGUUGGAAAGUUUCGGCGGUUGGGGAUGGACUCGCGGCUUAUCAGCUUGUUGGUGGGGUAGUGGCUUACCAAGGCUUUGACGGGUAGCCGGCCUGAGAGGGUGACCGGCCACAUUGGGACUGAGAUACGGCCCAGACUCCUACGGGAGGCAGCAGUGGGGAAUAUUGCACAAUGGGCGGAAGCCUGAUGCAGCAACGCCGCGUGCGGGAUGACGGCCUUCGGGUUGUAAACCGCUUUCGCCUGUGACGAAGCGUGAGUGACGGUAAUGGGUAAAGAAGCACCGGCUAACUACGUGCCAGCAGCCGCGGUGAUACGUAGGGUGCGAGCGUUGUCCGGAUUUAUUGGGCGUAAAGGGCUCGUAGGUGGUUGAUCGCGUCGGAAGUGUAAUCUUGGGGCUUAACCCUGAGCGUGCUUUCGAUACGGGUUGACUUGAGGAAGGUAGGGGAGAAUGGAAUUCCUGGUGGAGCGGUGGAAUGCGCAGAUAUCAGGAGGAACACCAGUGGCGAAGGCGGUUCUCUGGGCCUUUCCUGACGCUGAGGAGCGAAAGCGUGGGGAGCGAACAGGCUUAGAUACCCUGGUAGUCCACGCUGUAAACGGUGGGUACUAGGUGUGGGGUCCAUUCCACGGGUUCCGUGCCGUAGCUAACGCUUUAAGUACCCCGCCUGGGGAGUACGGCCGCAAGGCUAAAACUCAAAGGAAUUGACGGGGCCCCGCACAAGCGGCGGAGCAUGCGGAUUAAUUCGAUGCAACGCGUAGAACCUUACCCGGGUUUGACAUGGAUCGGGAGUGCUCAGAGAUGGGUGUGCCUCUUUUGGGGUCGGUUCACAGGUGGUGCAUGGCUGUCGUCAGCUCGUGUCGUGAGAUGUUGGGUUAAGUCCCGCAACGAGCGCAACCCUUGUUCACUGUUGCCAGCACGUUAUGGUGGGGACUCAGUGGAGACCGCCGGGGUCAACUCGGAGGAAGGUGGGGAUGACGUCAAGUCAUCAUGCCCCUUAUGUCCAGGGCUUCACGCAUGCUACAAUGGCUGGUACAGAGAGUGGCGAGCCUGUGAGGGUGAGCGAAUCUCGGAAAGCCGGUCUCAGUUCGGAUUGGGGUCUGCAACUCGACCCCAUGAAGUCGGAGUCGCUAGUAAUCGCAGAUCAGCAACGCUGCGGUGAAUACGUUCCCGGG